ACUGCGCCCGGCCUGACAAUAGUUACUUCUGUAAAUAAAAAAAUGCUGCCAACUCACAAUUCUAUAACCAAUUAGCAUAUUUAUCAAAAUCAAUGUCGAAAUGCUUAGAAAAAAUAAAAUGGAGGGAAUUCAUUGCCAUCAAGUGGACACUACAAGAAAUGUUAAAAAAAAAAAAAAAGUACUUUGGGCCAAAGGAAUAUUAUAUAUGUCAGAAACUUGUGUUUACACAAAGAAAUAAAGUGCAUAAAAAUAAAAUAAAGGUAAUUGCUGUAAAAGAUAACUAGCAGUUUAAAACAAUAAUAUAUAGUGUUUUUCCAGCAUAUGUAAAAGUAGUCCAUAUAUGAAUACAAGACCACAAAGGAUCAGUGAGAAUUGGGAAUAUACUAUUACAAGGUUCUUAUACUGAAAGGGAAACAGUAUAAUU
rnacentral:lncRNA from 1 species